UACGUAGGUGGCAAGCGUUGUCCGGAUUUACUGGGCGUAAAGAGCGCGCAGGCGGUCGUUCAAGUCGCGUGUGAAAGCCCCCGGCUCAACUGGGGAGGGUCACGCGAUACUGAUCGACUCGAAGGCAGGAGAGGGUAGUGGAAUUCCCGGUGUAGUGGUGAAAUGCGUAGAUAUCAGGAGGAACACCAGUAGCGAAGGCGGCUCGCUGGGCCACACCUGACGCUGAGACGCGAAAGCUAGGGGAGCGAACAGG
rnacentral:rRNA from 1 species